GUCGCCUCCUAAAAGGUAACGGAGGCGCUCAAAGGUUCCCUCAGAAUGGUUGGAAAUCAUUCAUAGAGUGUAAAGGCAUAAGGGAGCUUGACUGCGAGACCUACAAGUCGAGCAGGGUCGAAAGACGGACUUAGUGAUCCGGUGGUUCCGCAUGGAAGGGCCAUCGCUCAACGGAUAAAAGCUACCCCGGGGAUAACAGGCUUAUCUCCCCCAAGAGUUCACAUCGACGGGGAGGUUUGGCACCUCGAUGUCGGCUCAUCGCAUCCUGGGGCUGUAGUCGGUCCCAAGGGUUGGGCUGUUCGCC
rnacentral:rRNA from 1 species